GGUCGUAGUGGCCUCUCCCCCACGGCCCUGCGGACGCCGCCAUGAGGUCCUGAGGCGACAGCGCUGGCGCGAGGUGCUGGAGGCGAUGGCGCUGGCGCGAGGUGCUGGAGGAGAUCCCCCGGCUGCACUUGGUCGUAGUGGCCGCUCAACGGAGCAAGGUACUUCGCCCUCUGCCCCCAUCUCUUUCUUCCCUCCUUCCCUGCACCUCGUGCGGGCGGUAUUCUGAAUUCCGUAGAUGAAAUAAUCUGGAUCUCUGUCAGUACUAGUUUGGCAUGCAAUCAAUGGCAAUGCAAACAAAUGUGUUUAGACAGUACGUAGAUUAUAACUUCUGGCUAUUUCUUGGUCUGAAACAAAACAAUCUACCUAACUAUGAAUUCAUCUAGGAAACUCAGUGCUAGGUCGUUCAGUGAUGCCAACAGCAGAGAAAAUGAACAGCAAGUUUUGAGUUGUGGGUGGGAUGUAGCAGUACAGCUAACUUCAUGGUUGGCUGAAACAAUUCUUCAAUUCUUUUUUAGAAAACUCAUGCAUGUAACAUGCUAUCUGAAUCAUGACCACCACGUCAGUUACUAACUAGUUAAGACAAAAAGGUGGAUGAUUACACCAACCAGUUCAACAUAUUUUGCACAUGCAUGCCUUAAUUUCUCACGCUUCCCCCUUUGGAAAUUUAGGUGCAAAGAGUCUUGUCUGCUGUCUGAAACCUUAGGUGGAAAUUUCAGAUGAUUUAUGAAACAUUCAGCUUCAGAAUGUGACUUGUUUCGAUGAAACAUCAAUGUCCGAUUGCAUGCUACUCCCUCUGUUUAUUCUAGAACGUCUUACAUUACUGAACAGAGGGAGUAUCCCCAAAAAAAACAGAGGGAGUACAUAGCAAGACACCUGCAAUAACUAGACUGUUAUUGAUUUUCUUAGGGGCGCUGAUCUGCGCCGGUGCGCCGGCCCAACUGUUGGGCCGGUCCAGCACCAGCCGUCCGAUGCGCGAGCCGGGGUCGUCAGAUCUGCGCGAUCCAGAUCGAGAUCCCUCUGAAAAAAAUCCUCCUGCAUCGCACAGCACCCGCUCCUCGCCCCGCGGCAGCGCACCGCAGCAGGCUGCACCUCGCCGUGCCCCCGCCCCUCGCCGCAGGCUGCACCUCGCCACACCCCCGGCCCUUGCCGCACAGCACCGCGGGCCGCCUUCCGCCAGCCGUUGACCUCGCAGCACCCAUCCCCCACCCCCCGCGGAUGGCAGCUAGCCACCUCCGCCGUCAGCCGCAACUUGGCGAUGAAGUUCGUCACAACUCCGUCGCUACAGGCCAUCGACACAUGCAACACUCGCCGCAGUUGUAGCUAAUCCGUGAACGCUGCCGGAACUAGCCGCCACGCUUGAAGCACCAUGGCCUCGUGAAUGGAUGUAGCAAAACACAUCGCCACUGGUAGCAAAAAACGAGGUUGUUGCAACAAAAAUGUCGUCUUCAUCGUCGUCGGUCACGCCUCGGUCGUAAAAAAGCGCCAUGGCCGCAUGAAUGGAUGUAGCAAAACACACAGACGGUAGUAGCAAAAAAUUGACACGGUUGUAGCUUUUCUCACAAAUGGUUGAAGCUUUUCCCCUCUACGAUGGAAGCUUUUCUGUAAACCAUUGAAACUUUUUUCGUUUUGAGCAGCGCCUGGGUGAAAUCUUCCUCUAUCGUUCGGUCGCAGCAAAAUCACAGAGAGACGCCAUGGCCGUCGUCGAGGAAGAUUUCUCAAUCUCUGGUUGAAGCUUUUUCAUCUGCAGGUUGAAGCUUUUGGUCAAACGGUUGUAACAUUUCCUCUAUUUUGUUGUCUGGUUGAAACUUUUUUAUCUAUCGGAUGUAGCUUUUUGUGUCCAUGGUUGUAGCAUGGGAAAACGACGUUUGCAACUCUCCCGGUACCGCGGUUGCAGCUCCUCCCCGUGGCCAUGGUUGUAGCACGGGCACCUCGGUCCUCCCGGCGUUUUGCCUGUCGCCGGUUGCAACAAAAGGGGAAGAGAGGAGGAGGAAAAGGGAAGAGAGGGAGAAGGAAAAAAAGGAGGUGGGAAGGCGAGCGGGGCUGCAAUCUAUAUCCAUGGCCGAUGGCGAGCUGCUCCACACGCUACAAUGAGGAAGAUGAGAUGGGGCCAGACGGCUGGCGGAAGGAAGAAGAAGCAAAGAAAAAAGAAAAAAAAAGUGAAAAACGUUUGGGUCAACUAAACGCGCGUCUGUCAGCGUGUCCUGCGCGUGAAAAAGGGAAGCGACCGGCCGAGCGCUUCGGCCGGCGCACCGGGCCCAAACAUUUACCUUUUCUUAGUGGCAUAUUUUUUCUUGUUAGAACAAAAAUGGGUAUUGGGUUGAGCUUUUCUCAAUAAUUUUCUUAGUUUUUUCAUGAGUUCACUAUUAUGUGAUUCAUUGCCUUCUCUACAUGAUUUUAGUUGUUUGACCAAGGCCUAUUUUGGGAAACCACUUGCUUUGAUGUUACACUUUACUGUCAACACGAUUGAAAUUCAACACAAGAGAGUUCAUUUUUCAUCCACCACAUGAUCGACACCAAUUGUUUAUUUGUAUGUUAUAUGCAGGAAGACAUGGCCGAUCGAUCCUAACUAUCCUAUGCCCUUUGCAGGUGACGACGGUGUUCUCUGAAUUUUAAUCUCUCUCCCGUGUUUUCCGACAACAAUGAUCAGUAGUAGCAGUAGUCCUUUGCACAAUUUUACUUCUCUGUGUGCAGUUUAAAAGCUAGGAAAAAAUUGGGGCCAUGAAUACCCGCAUUGUUCUCAUAUAUCAUCUCCAUGGAUGAAAAAGGGUGUAUAGUGCCAUCAUUGUUCAUCCUCUCCCUUUGUCACGAACGUUGUCUGAAUCAACUUAGCUGACAAAAUGGCUACCUGUCUCGUUUUUCAUCAGCCUUCACAUCUGUGCAGUUUUCUUGGCAAGAAAAGUAUGUGUUGAUGGGAUCUGGAGAUCUAGAAAAGGAAGCUUAUAUUACCAAUUUUUGUUAAUGUUUUUGUCAGCUGUGAGUGCACGCACGCGAUGGGUGGUCUAGCACGGAAAUGAUUUGCUGCUUCAUGAUGAGCAGGAAAUGAAUUGAUGCUUCAUAAUGAGCAGAUCGACAUAUUUAAAUGACAUGUUUGUGUUGGUAACACUGUUUUUAUGUGGAAGUUUAAAGAUAAAACCAGUAUUUACAAGGUGGAGCAGUUCAAGAGAAGGAUGGAACGUGACAAAUAUUGCAAAUUAGUCUGAUAUGGUCACUGAUUCCGCAUGUGAGAUUGUUGGAUUAUUUGUGUUGCAUCUUUCACCUGCGAGUCAAUUUUUUUUAUUUCUUUCCAACCAUCAAGGCUCAACUACAUCAUGUUGUGAAUGUGGCAGUGAACUCCUCAAACACUACCACCGUCAAUGUAUUUUGCUUUAACAUCAAAUGGUAGCAUAAUGUGGC
rnacentral:lncRNA from 1 species